rnacentral:SRP_RNA from 1 species
GCCGGGCAUGGUGGUGCAUGCCUGUAAUCCCAGCACUUUGGGAGGCUGAGGCGGGUGGAUCACCUGAGGUCAGGAGUUCGAGACCAGCCUGGCCAACAUGGUGAAACCCCAUCUCUA